AUGACCACAACCUGGACCAGUUGGCAUUUAGAGAUGGCAAACACAGGCGGCGUGGAGACAGUAACCUGGACCACCCACCUCCCUUGCCUUUUUAAUUUUGGUUGUGGUGGUUGCAUCACCGGCGCGGUCGCAAAUCAGUAUGUAGUGUGCUUGUGGAGUUGGUUCUGGACUGCAGUGUCCAUCCAUUGGUCGCUGUCGGGGCACAGAGCUCACGGGCUGGCGGGGUGCGAUGGUGACGUCAGCGAUGGAGGCGUCGUCGCCGCCGUUCGCCGGCGGCGUGGAGACGCCGGCAUCUGCUCAUCUGCCCGUUCGGUGUCUUCCCUCCUGAUUACUGUGGGCACGUCCGCCUCUGCUUUCCUUUCCUCCCUCUCCUCUCCUCUGCUUUGCUCCGAGCUCGUCGCCCCGCUGUUUGCAGCUCGAAUCGUGACCAUUUUGUGUGAUGCAACAAAUGGAGAAAGGGUUGAUAGUCCUUUUUUUACACUGGAACUUGAGCAUGGUGGAAUUUUCUGUGGCCCAAUCAGUAACCUGGAGUACUGGAAUCCUUCUGUUGAGGUGCUAGACUAUGUUGACUCUGGCACUUUCUCAUAUGCAUUCUUUGAACAACACUUGCUUUGGUUGGGAUAUCUUGUGAGUGAGCACAUCAUUUACUGGUGCAAACCAAAUAAACCAAUCUCAGAUGGUUUGAUCAAAAUUAGCAGUGAUGAGGAUGUGCACCAUAUGAUCAGAGCUUGUGCUGAGCAUAAGAUGCUUGUAGUCAUGGUUGAGCAUAUAGAUUUCAUCAAUAAUUUCAGGUCCGACUUGGUGUGCAGAUUGCCCUUGUCUUUGAUAACAGCAACAUCAACUUUGGAAGUAGCAAGUGCAUCCUCUUCCCAUAGCCUAAUUUCAGUAUUUGUGGAAGAUCCCUUGUCAGAUAUUGCAGCAAAUGGAACAGACCCACAGAGUUUGCUGAUUGAGGGUGCUGAGCACAACAUGCUAACUGAAGAUGGACAAACAGUUAUUGAAGAUGUAGUUGUUUUAGAUUCUGAUUUCAGUGACAGUGACUAUGACAUAGAUGAUGGUGAUGAUGAUCUUUAUGAUGACAACAUUGACUUUGAUGUUGAUGAAGAAGGUGAGCAGGAGGAGGAAGAUGUGGAGCCUGACUAUUUGCUUGAGGAUGAAGAUCUAAACCUAUCAACUGAGCAAGCAGAUGAACUUAGGAUGGUAUUUGCUGAUGUGGUUGAGCUAAUACAUGCACUGACUGCAUAUUCAGUUAGAAACAGAGUGCAGAUCAAGAAGAUAAAGAAUGACAAGAGGAGACUUGAGGCAGUUUGUGAAAAUGGUUGCGCAUGGUACCUGUUUGCUGGAAAUGACAAUAGGACAGGAGGAUUUGUCAUAAAGACUUACUAUGGAGAACAUAUAUGUCAGAAGAAAUGGAAGUUAAGGUCACUGACAGCAAAAUUCCUGUGCAAGUAUUUCAUGGAUGAGUUCAGAGAUGACCAGAAGAUGUCACUAGAUCCGAAGCAUUGGGAGAAACAGAAUGCUUACAAAGUAUAUCCACCAGUUUUCACUAAACAGUUGGGAAGGCCAAAGAAAAACAGGAAGAAAACUCCAGAAGAGAAGAAGAACAAGAAUGGUGUUAGAUAUUUGGACAAAAAAGGUGUGACAAUGCACUACUCAAUUUGUGGCAGAGCUGACCACAACAGGAAGGGGCACUGCAGAUGUCAGGAAGCACUAAUUGAAGAAGGAGUAGAGCUGGUUGAUGAGAACUAUGAUGACCCAACAUUUCUUCAGAACAUAUUUCCAAACAGGCCAGAUCCUAGGUUGGAUCCUAGUGAGUCACCGACCAGUAUGGUUUUCAACAUGGCCAACAGGGAAAGAGCAAGAAGAGCUCCUCAAAGGGUCCAUGGCCCACUGCCUGAGCUGUCUUCAUUUGUUGCUACUGCUGGGGCUGAAAUACCACAACCCAGGGUUACUACAGAAAUGAAUGUUGCUAGGCAGACAAGGGCAAGAACUGAAGCUGACAUGGGAAGAGGAAAGAAAAGGAGAGGCAGGGGAGAGGGAAAUCCAAGUGCAAGAAGAGGAAGGGGAGCAAGUGCAGUCUCAGGUCUAGGAAGAGGUGCCAGUGCAGAUGCAGUGUCAGGAGAGGGAGCAAGUGCAGGUGCUGGGAGAGGGAGAGGAGCAAGUGCAGGUGCUGGGAGAGGGAGAGGGAGAGGAGCAAAUGCAGGUGCUGGGAGAGGGAGAGGAGCAAAUCCAGAAGCUGGGAGAGGGAGAGGAGCAAAUCCAGAAGCUGGGAGAGGGAGAGGAGCAAAUCUAGGAGGUGGGAGAGGGAGAGGAGGCAGUAAUGUGCAUGCAUGGAGAGGAGAAAAUUCAGAUGCAGGGAGAGGAAGAGGAGGCCAAGCAGGUGAGAGGGCAUGGUGGCUGAUGUUUGGAGAUGACAUUGCCAGUCAUAUUCCUCACCUUAAUGCUCCUCCUGAUGAUUUUCCUGCUGCCUGA
rnacentral:rRNA from 1 species